rnacentral:rRNA from 1 species
GAGUAAUGUCUGGGAAACUGCCUGAUGGAGGGGGAUAACUACUGGAAACGGUAGCUAAUACCGCAUAACGUCGCAAGACCAAAGAGGGGGACCUUCGGGCCUCUUGCCAUCGGAUGUGCCCAGAUGGGAUUAGCUUGUUGGUGGGGUAACGGCUCACCAAGGCGACGAUCCCUAGCUGGUCUGAGAGGAUGACCAGCCACACUGGAACUGAGACACGGUCCAGACUCCUACGGGAGGCAGCAGUGGGGAAUAUUGCACAAUGGGCGCAAGCCUGAUGCAGCCAUGCCGCGUGUAUGAAGAAGGCCUUCGGGUUGUAAAGUACUUUC